rnacentral:rRNA from 1 species
UUUUAUCGAGGCUCGAGUAACACGUGGGUAACCUGCCUGUAAGACUGGGAUAACUCCGGGAAACCGGAGCUAAUACCGGAUAGUUCCUUGAACCGCAUGGUUCAAGGAUGAAAGACGGUUUCGGCUGUCACUUACAGAUGGACCCGCGGCGCAUUAGCUAGUUGGUGAGGUAACGGCUCACCAAGGCGACGAUGCGUAGCCGACCUGAGAGGGUGAUCGGCCACACUGGGACUGAGACACGGCCCAGACUCCUACGGGAGGCAGCAGUAGGGAAUCUUCCGCAAUGGACGAAAGUCUGACGGAGCAACGCCGCGUGAGUGAUGAAGGUUUUCGGAUCGUAAAGCUCUGUUGUUAGGGAAGAACAAGUGCAAGAGUAACUGCUUGCACCAUGACGGUACCUAACCAGAAAGCCACGGCUAACUACGUGCCAGCAGCCGCGGUAAUACGUAGGUGGCAAGCGUUGUCCGGAAUUAUUGGGCGUAAAGGGCUCGCAGGCGGUUUCUUAAGUCUGAUGUGAAAGCCCCCGGCUCAACCGGGGAGGGUCAUUGGAAACUGGGAAACUUGAGUGCAGAAGAGGGAGAGUGGAAUUCCACGUGUAGCGGUGAAAUGCGUAGAGAUGUGGAGGAACACCAGUGGCGAAGGCGACUCUCUGGUCUGUAACUGACGCUGAGGAGCGAAAGCGUGGGGAGCGAACAGGAUUAGAUACCCUGGUAGUCCACGCCGUAAACGAUGAGUGCUAAGUGUUAGGGGGUUUCCGCCCCCUUAGUGCU